UGGACAAACGGGGAAUUGAACCCCGGACCUCUCCCAAGCAGAUCCAAUCCAAUUACUUGGUGGAAAUAUGCUAAGGGAAAAUCAUACCACUAGACCAUUCGCCC